rnacentral:rRNA from 1 species
UACAGAGGGGGCAAGCGUUAUUCGGAAUUAUUGGGCGUAAAGGGCGCGUAGGCGGUUCUUCAAGUCUCUCGUGAAACCCCUCGGCUUAACUGAGGACGUGCGGGAGAUACUGAAGGGCUUGAGUCCGGAAGAGGGUGGUGGAAUUCCCAGUGUAGCGGUGAAAUGCGCAGAUAUCGGGAGGAACACCGGUGGCGAAGGCGGUUCUCUGGGCCUUACCUGACGCUGAGGAGCGAAAGCAUGGGGAGCGAACAGG